UCCGAACUUCUCCAAUCAUGAGCUUCUCCAUUCAUCUACCGGACUACUCCAAACACUCUCUGAACUUCACUUUCAACCGAUUCUCUACAUUGGUCGACUAUUCUCCAAUCCCUUUCAGACUUCUCCCAGCCACGAUCGGCCUGACUCCGAACUCCUUCCGAGCUUCGUCGACGUCCGAACUUCCCCAACAACAGCACUUCUACAGUAGCCAGACUCCAUCCAAAUUUCUACGACGGUCGACCACCUUCCGAAUUUCACCCGAGCUCCAAUGAGGGC
rnacentral:lncRNA from 1 species